rnacentral:rRNA from 1 species
UACGGGGGGGGCAAGCGUUGUUCGGAAUUACUGGGCGUAAAGGGCGCGCAGGCGGUCCUUCAAGUCAGAUGUGAAAGCCCCGGGCUCAACCUGGGAACUGCAUUUGAGACUGAAGGACUAGAGUUCGGGAGAGGAUGGUGGAAUUCCCAGUGUAGAGGUGAAAUUCGUAGAUAUUGGGAAGAACACCGGUGGCGAAGGCGGCCAUCUGGACCGAUACUGACGCUGAGGCGCGAAAGCGUGGGGAGCAAACAGG